ACCGUACAAAAGAAAAUAACUCGCCCAAAACGUGCGUUUUUAUAAUAUUAUAAAGAGAAAAGAUUUGGAUGAUUGUAACGAAUAAACUCAAAAACUACUGGACCGAUUUCAAAAAUUGUGCCACCAUUAGAAUGCUACGUAUCACUGAUUAACAUGGCCAAUAUUUAUUAGAAGAAAAAUGAAUUACAGACAUAUUUUUUUCAGGUCAAUAUUACAAAAAAAAUUCUAAUUGAUUUACUGUAUUAGAGUAAUUUAAAAAAAAAUAAUUUUGGCCCCCUUCAAAAUCCUUGUGGUGAGCACUGGCUCAGAUAAAUGAUCAUAUUACGCUUAAAAAUGUUCGUUAUAACCUACUGGUAUUAAAAUAAGACAGUGAAAACAAAAUUAUUAAA